CGCUGAGGGCCAUAGCGAGGGAAAUUGCUUCCUUGUCACCGAUGAAGUUGGCAAACAAAUUCAAAGAAGAAAGAGAGGUAUUUACUCCGAGAGCUUGAGCCAGUGAAUUUGCUCCCUCACCAUUAAUGGAGUUGUCAGACAAAUCCAAAGCAGAAAGAGAGCUGUUUACUCUGAGGGCAUUGGCGAGUGAAUUUGCUCCUUCAUCACCAAUGAAGUUGUCAGACAAAUGCAAAGAAGCAAGAGAGGUGUUUACUCUGAGGGCCUGUGCAAGUGAAUUUGCUCCCUCGGCACCGAUGAAAUUGCGAAACAAAUCCAAAGAAGACAGAGAGGUGUUCACUCUGAGUGCCUGAGCAAGUGAAUUUGCUCCCCCAGCACCAAUGGAAUUGGAAUUCAAAUCCAACGA